UACGGAGGAGGCAAGCGUUAUCCGGAAUUAUUGGGCGUAAAGAGCUCGUAGGCGGUGUGUCACGUCGAUCGUGAAAACUUGGGGCUUAACUCUGAGCUUGCGGUCGAUACGGGCAUCACUGGAGUUCGGCAGGGGAGACUGGAAUUCCUGGUGUAGCGGUGAAAUGCGCAGAUAUCAGGAGGAACACCGGUGGCGAAGGCGGGUCUCUGGGCCGAUACUGACGCUGAGGAGCGAAAGCGUGGGGAGCGAACAGG
rnacentral:rRNA from 1 species